AACCCAAAUUGUCCCAUGUGUCGUUACAAGUUGCCACCAACGGAGUCCAAAUAGAAGUGAUCUCUUUCUAGUAAUUAAAAUGUAUUUUAAGAUAGGUUAAUUCUGUCAAAAAAUUAUCUUUUCUCUUAUGGAAAAACAAUUCUAGUUAUUGAAUUUAUUAAUAGAAUCUUGGCACCUUCCAACACUUUCUUUUUUCCUAUGGAAAAACUAGUCAUAUUUAGCUUCAUGAUACUUGUAU
rnacentral:lncRNA from 1 species